GGGUGUCCCCUUCCUCCCUCACCACUCCAUGUGCAUCCCUCCCAAAGCUGUGCGCUCGGUGGAAGAGGACGUCCUCCCAGAUAGAAAGGAGUACCGUUCUUCGGUCAAGGGUAUACGACAGCUGCGCUCCCCUGCUAGAACCUCCAAACAAGCUCAUGGGAGUAGAAGCAUAUACAGGGAUUUAUAUUACUUCUUUGAGGGCAUGUUCACACAAAACAGUAACCUUCAG
rnacentral:sRNA from 1 species